GGGGAUGUAAUGGUUUCGACGGGAGUCUUGAAAGUAGGGAUAGCCAUCCGCAGCCCGGUGAACUGCGUCAUCAAGCCGGAAACUUUUCUAAAAAGAAACGACAACAAUAAAUUAGCAUACGCUGCCUAAUUGCGGCAGCUGUCAACCCCCGGAUUCCUGCCGCCGGGGAGCUUGGCAUCGACUUGGCGGGGCACUUUUUCGCUUAAGCUUUGCGGCGGAAAAAGACUCAUGAAGCUACCGAGGAACAUAGCCUGUCAUUCGGCGAUGGUCUGAGGGAAUUCUAAAAGACUGACUGUGAUGGGAGAAGUUCUUACAGAUGGGUUUUCGGACAGGGGUUCGACUCCCCUCAUCUCCAUUC
rnacentral:tmRNA from 1 species